GGUCGGAGACGAUGGACCGCUUGAAACCGAGCAGCAACUCUCCAUCUCGAUUCAUGCCCAGCGCAGGGGCAACGGAAAGAAGGGAACAGAGAACGAGAGCAAGAACGCCGGUCGUCUGCAACAUUGAUAGAUGACAAGGAAGGGAUUGGACAAAAUCAACGAAACACAUUGGAAAACUUCCUUGAUUUGAAGACUUGCUUUGAUUAUGGUGGUCCAGACUAGCUCCGGAAGAGAAUCUUCAAACCAGUUCAUGAAUUACCAUGCAAAACAGAGGAUUGUAAGUUUGUAACUUCUAUUUCACAGUGUGCAGUGUUUUCUUGUAGGAAUGGUUUCAAGGCGCUGCAGCAUUCAGUGAGUAAUUUGCUGCUGCUGCUGCAGCUGCUGCACAGCGAUCCCUGCAAAGAAGAGCAGUCGCCAUCUGAAAUUAAAGCUACUUUCUCUUUGAGACGUAAAAUAUUCUUCACCUUCAGGCAGCCAGGGAGAAUAAUUGUUCCUUCUUUUCCUUUUAAUCUUGGUAAUUUCAUUUUCACUCCACGUUUGAGCUGAUAGACAAAGACGCAGUUCUUGGCAGCAGCCGUUGUAGCAUUAUUUAGCGACGACCCCACGAGACUCCGUCCCUGACGAUUAGAAACGCCCAUUGAAUUGGGCACUGAAAGGUAGGAGUCGAGCCCUUGUUUGUCGCCAUGGCAGGGACCAGGGACCAGGCCCGGAAGG